rnacentral:rRNA from 1 species
GGGGACCCUACGGGUGCCGCGUUCGGAAUGAGUACGAUUCGAACCACCUAACGAGGAACGAUCGGAGGGCAAGUCUGGUGCCAGCAGCCGCGGUAAUUCCAGCUCCAAUAGCGUACGUUAAAAGUUGCUGCAGUUAAAAAGCUCGUAGUUGAACGUUCGGGUUCCGCGGGACGGGGCCGCCCCGCGAGGGACGGCGCCGCCCCGGGGCUCGUGAUAUCUUAUCUCGCCGCCCGUCGCGAGGCGGACGGAGGGGAUGGGAUGAGGUUACCUGGAAAAAAUCGGGGCGAUCUAGGCGGGCGAACCUCGCCAACGAACGAUCGGACAUGGGGAUAACGGAAGAGGGCGUCGGCUCGACUUCGUCGGUUCCUCGGGCCGAGGCACGUACGGUGAAUAGGGACGGUCGGGGGCCGCCCGUACCGGGUCGUGAGAGGUGAAAUUCUAGGAUCGACCCGAGACGAACUGCCGCGAAAGCAUUCGGCAAGGACGCUUUCAUUAAUCAAGAACGAAAGUACGGGGGAGUCGAAGACGAUCAGAUACCGU